rnacentral:rRNA from 1 species
UACGUAGGGUGCAAGCGUUGUCCGGAAUUAUUGGGCGUAAAGAGCUCGUAGGCGGUUCGUCGCGUCGGCUGUGAAAUCCCGGAGCUCAACUCCGGGUCUGCAGUCGAUACGGGCGGACUUGAGUACUGCAGGGGAGACUGGAAUUCCUGGUGUAGCGGUGAAAUGCGCAGAUAUCAGGAGGAACACCGGUGGCGAAGGCGGGUCUCUGGGCCGAUACCUGACGCUGAGGAGCGAAAGCGUGGGGAGCGAACAGG